AUGCGCAAAAUUGUGAUUAAUUCAGUUUCACCUUUGCUAUCAUCGUGAGUUAUUAUACAUAUACCUAUAGUGCGCGAGAAAUAUUGCCUAAAAGUAUGUAUCCAACGAGAAGGAAGCAAAUGCGUAAACCGGCACUACCACCAGAUAUUUACCAUAGUUUCCCACGAUUCUGCGCGAUUAGUUCAUCAAUGGAUUUGCCAUACGACCCUCCAUUUACUAUGUAAACGUGUUUGGGACCAUGUUUGUUGCCGACUGAUCAUCUCAAGGAAUGGCAAGCGGAAACAGGAUGCAAUGUCUUGCAUAAUUUGCAUUAAUAUCUCCUUGUAUUUUUUGUUUUAAAUAUUUAUCUUAAUUACAGUAAGAAAAUAAACACUUCAGUAAGCACA